rnacentral:lncRNA from 1 species
AAACUCUCAUUUUCCAGAAAAAUGCUACGAUACUCUAAUGAAACAAAGCAAAUCCACCUCUUCUUUUAAAGUAAAUGUUUUGUUCUCAUGUUAUUAAAAAAAAAAUUCAUGUUUAUUCAUCACUAAUGAACACUUUGAGUUUUAAGUAUGCAACAUUUCUAAGGAAAAUAAACUAAUGUAGGGUUUAUUAGGAUGUUGAAUAAAUUGUUAAUGGAGUUAACAUUUGGUGAGG